UCCGUAGGCGGGCAGCUAAGUCAGUGGUGAAAGUCUGCAGCUCAACUGUAAAAUUGCCAUUGAUACUGGUUGUCUUGAAUUAUUAUGAAGUGGUUAGAAUAUGUAGUGUAGCGGUGAAAUGCAUAGAUAUUACAUAGAAUACCAAUUGCGAAGGCAGAUCACUAAUAAUAUAUUGACGCUGAUGGACGAAAGCGUGGGGAGCGAACAGGAUUAGAUACCCUGGUAGUCC
rnacentral:rRNA from 1 species